rnacentral:rRNA from 1 species
UGCCCUAGUAACGGCGAGUGAAGCGGCAACAGCUCAAAUUUGAAAUCUGGCCUCCUCCGGGGGUCCGAGUUGUAAUUUGCAGAGGGUGCUUUGGCUUUGGCGGCGGUCUAAGUUCCUUGGAACAGGACAUCGCAGAGGGUGAGAAUCCCGUACGUGGGCGCCUGCCACUGCCGUGUAAAGCCCCUUCGACGAGUCGAGUUGUUUGGGAAUGCAGCUCUAAAUGGGAGGUAAAUUUCUUCUAAAGCUAAAUACCGGCCAGAGACCGAUAGCGCACAAGUAGAGUGAUCGAAAGAUGAAAAGUACUUUGGAAAGAGAGUAAAAUAGCACGUGAAAUUGUUGUAGAGGAAGCGCUUGCAGCCAGACUUCCCCGUAGUCGCUCACCCGGGCUCCUGCCCGGGGCACUCUUCUGCGGGGAGGCCAGCAUCAGUUUGGGCGGUCGGAUAAAGGCCUCUGUCACGUAUCUCCCUCCGGGGAGACCUUAUAGGGGAGGCGCAAUGCGACCAGCCCGGACUGAGGUCCGCGCAUCUGCCAGGAUGCUGGCGUAAUGGCUGUAAGCGGCCCGUCUUGAAACACGGACCAAGGAGUCUAACAUCUAUGCGAGUGUUUGGGUGUCAAGCCCGGGCGCGCAAUGAAAGUGAACGGAGGUGGGAACCCUCGGGUGCACCAUCGACCGAUCCUGAUGUCUUCGGAUGGAUUUGAGUAAGAGCAUAGCUGUUGGGACCCGAAAGAUGGUGAACUAUGCUUGAAUAGGGUGAAGCCAGAGGAAACUCUGGUGGAGGCUCGCAGCGGUUCUGACG